UGAGGAAUAUUGCGCAAUGGGGGAAACCCUGACGCAGCGACGCCGCGUGAGUGAUGAAGGCCUUCGGGUUGUAAAGCUCUGUCAGAGGGAAAGAAAGGGGAUGCGGAAUAAUACCCGCAGCCAUUGACGGUACCCUCGGAGGAAGCACCGGCUAACUCCGUGCCAGCAGCCGCGGUAAUACGGAGGGUGCAAGUGUUAUUCGGAAUCACUGGGCGUAAAGAGCACGUAGGCGGAUGGGUAAGUCAGAUGUGAAAUCCCGGGGCUCAACUUCGGAAGCGUAUUGGCUACGGAGCGUCGUGAGUGGUGUAGAGGGGGAGGGAAUGCCCGGUGGAGGGGUGAAAUUCGUAGAUAUCGGGAGGAACAGCAGAGGCGAAGGCGAGCACAUGGGCCAUUACUGACGGUGAUGUGCGAAAGCGUGGGGAGCAAACAG
rnacentral:rRNA from 1 species